rnacentral:tRNA from 1 species
UACUAAUAGGUUAUGAAAACUAAUAGAUUGUGGUUCUGUUGAAUACUAUUAAUUUAAUUGUAUUAGUAAA